AUAAUUAUAACUGCAAAUAGUAUACUGAGUAUGUAUUUUUUGCAAGGAUUUGUUAGUUUUUAUAUAUACAUAUAAAUAAGAAGUCGUAUUAGUGCCAUUGAGACAACUCUCCAUCGAAAUAACAAUGUAUAUAUUAUAAAGUUAACAAUUACAGGUUAAAGUACGGACUUCAACACGCAUUGGCUCACACCGAACUGCAAGCUAUCAAGGGCCCCAAAAUGACUAGUGAAAAACAAUUUAAACAGGAAAAGCAGCAGCCUAAUUUGUAUACAAAAUGAGAAACGAGAAACACUUAUGAACCAUAACAACAAACGACAACUACUGAACAGCAGACUUCUGACCAAGGACAUUUGCAUAAA
rnacentral:lncRNA from 1 species